UCAGUGUGUGCAUUCACAUCAAAGGCCAACAUGAAGACAGGCACAGUCGUUGUUCUAGUGGCUUUUGUCAUCUUGGGGAUGGAGAUGGCCUUUGCUCAGAAACGUCCUCCUGGAGGGGGAAACAGACCUGGACUCUGCCCCAAGGUUCCCAAAGAUACGGGUGGGGCUUGUGCUGAAGGCUGCUCAGGAGAUUACUCAUGUCCCAAGGGAAUGAAAUGCUGCAGCAAUGGAUGUGGCCAUGAU